rnacentral:piRNA from 1 species
UGGUGAGAACAUGAAUCCAGAUGGCAUGG